rnacentral:rRNA from 1 species
UGGGGAAUAUUGGACAAUGGGCGAAAGCCUGAUCCAGCCAUGCCGCGUGUGUGAAGAAGGUCUUCGGAUUGUAAAGCACUUUAAGUUGGGAGGAAGGGCAGUUACCUAAUACGUAUCUGUUUUGACGUUACCGACAGAAUAAGCACCGGCUAACUCUGUGCCAGCAGCCGCGGUAAUACAGAGGGUGCAAGCGUUAAUCGGAAUUACUGGGCGUAAAGCGCGCGUAGGUGGUUUGUUAAGUUGGAUGUGAAAUCCCCGGGCUCAACCUGGGAACUGCAUUCAAAACUGACUGACUAGAGUAUGGUAGAGGGUGUGGAAUUUCCUGUGUAGCGGUGAAAUGCGUAGAUAUAGGAAGGAACACCAGUGGCGAAGGCGACCACCUGGACUGAUACUGACACUGAGGUGCGAAGGCGUGGGGAGCAAACAGGAUUAGAUACCCCAGUAGUCCCUGAGCGGGCUGGCAAGGCGCAU